AGGAGUGGGAAAUUUGCCCACUCAGAGCCAGUGCAGCCCCUGUUCACUCUCGGCCAGGCCUUAGGCCAAGCUGUUUGUAUACUUGCUCAGAUCAACAAGCGGUAAGACACUGAAGGUCACAGGUUUAAUUUAUUAAGCCACCAAAGCACCAAUUCAGGUGGCCAUUUUCCCAGUGCGUGCAUAGUAACUGGUCCGCCAGUGUUGGUCAGUAAAAGGAAUCUAAUUCUUGGCAGAGCCAUCCUAGGACAGUUGGCUUGGAAUGUCCCAGGUUCUCAGCAGUUGAGCAGACCACUCACUGGCCACUAAGUGUGGUCAGCUGGUCCCUAGGAAGGCUCCAUGUGAGAUAGCUGGUAAUAUGAAGACUGAUGGAGGAUGGCCAUGGUGGUUUUUUUCCAUAGGCACUUCAGAGGGGCUUCUCUUGGAGGUAACUGUCUUGGGGUUUGGGUCAUGGGUGGAAACCUAGAGGUGGGGGGCUGAGUGAGCAUGUGGACUUUUCUGUUGGCUCAGGCACCUCCUCCAGCAGGAGUGUCCAAGAAAGAGACUUGGCUGUGGGCGUCAAGGCAUGAUCUCACAUGCUCCAGGAAGGUGACUCGUGUUCAGGGAUCUCUCUCCCCAGGGAACCAACUCUAUUCCUGUCCUGGACCCAUCCUCAUCUGUAUGGUAACUCCUAGCAUGUCAAUUUAUCUCUGUACAUUUCAGGGCCCUCACUCUAGAAUAUGGCUUACGACCCCUUUCUGUCCCCCCACACCUCAAAAGGGCCCACAUGGGGAUUACAGGAGAUGGUCAAAGGUGUCAUCCACGAGCUGUGAAACAGCUGCAUUUCUCCAAUGCCUCCAUGAAAUGAAGGAUCUUGCCUCAAGGAUUAAGAAGAAAUGUUCACCCGAGGUGAAGAAUAUCAACUGGCCUGAAGCAGUGAUUCGCGAAACAUCACAUCUGGCCAAACAACGGGAGGCCCCCUAUGGAUGGCCCACUUGAAGGCACCUGUCUGGACAGAAUGAGUUGGCCACUGUGCAGCUCGAGUGACUCUGAAAGGUCUAUGAUGACACCAUCACCAUGGCGACGAGAGAGACACCUCUGCUGUGCUGUCCAAAGGUCCCUCUUUGGGCUGAGUGAGUCAUUGAGACACGUACAACUCUCAAGGACGGAAACAGGAUUGGAAAUAUUUUGUGUGGCUGCUGUUGUGAUAUGUUCUUACAGAUCUCCGGACUGCUGUUUGCUGCUAACCAGAUAGUUCCCUCUUCCUCCAAAUAUUUUCUCAUCAAUGAUAAUUUUCUCUCUCCCAACUUGUCAUUCGGAGUUAUACAAAUGUUUUAUAGUUUAGUUUUAUCCCUUGAUUUCUAUUUUUGGUUAUUCUACCAAGCUAGCUGCCUUUUGUCCUUAGUUGUGAAAACUGUACUCCUCCCUGUGAUAUCCUGCACCACACCCUUGACACACUAGGUUCCCCUAGGGGAGAAAAUACGGCAAUGUCUAUUUUCAUUUCUGUCCAAAAUUAUAUAUUCCAAUAUAUGUUCAAUAUAUAUAUUCGCGAU